rnacentral:rRNA from 1 species
CAGCCGCCACGGUAAUACGAAGGGGGCUAGCGUUGCUCGGAAUUACUGGGCGUAAAGGGAGCGUAGGCGGAUCGUUAAGUUGGGGGUGAAAGCCCGGGGCUCAACCUCGGAAUUGCCUUCAAUACUGGCGAUCUUGAGUAUGGAAGAGGUAUGUGGAACUCCGAGUGUAGAGGUGAAAUUCGUAGAUAUUCGGAAGAACACCAGUGGCGAAGGCGACAUACUGGUCCAUUACUGACGCUGAGGCUCGAAAGCGUGGGGAGCAAACAGGAUUAGAUACCCCCGUAGUCCCUGUCUCUUAUAC